GAUGAAGAACGUAGCGAAAUGUGAUAAGCAAUGUGAAUUGCAGAAUUCAGUGAAUCAUCGAAUCUUUGAACGCAUCUUGCGCUCCUUGGUAUUCUGAGGAGCAUGCCUGUUUGAGUGUCAUUAAAUUCUCAACUACACUGACUUUGAAUUGGUGUGGCUUGGAUUUGGGGGGAAAAUUGUUGUGGGCUUUUUGUAUAGUCUGCUCCCCUGAAAUUGAUUAGCGGUACCUUUGUGGAACUGUCUACAGGUGUGAUAAUUAUCUACAUCUUAGACAUCUGCUGGAAUGCUGCUUUCUAAACCUUACUUGUAUUGACAAUCUUGACCUCAAAUCAGGUAGGACUACCCGCUGAACUUAAGCAUAUCAAUAAGCGGAGGA
rnacentral:misc_RNA from 1 species